rnacentral:rRNA from 1 species
UUAGAUACCCUAUUAUACUAAUAAUAGCUCUGAGUAUUAAUAGAUAUAAUUCUUCAAAUUCAAAGAAUUUGGCGGUGACUUAGUCUUGUUAGAGGAACCUGUUUUUAAAUCGAUAAACCACGUUAAAUUUUACUCGCUUUUGUAUCCAGCUUAUAUACCGUCAUUAUCAGAUAAUUUUCAAAGAAAGAAUUAUUAUAAACUAUUAUAAGAUAGAUAAAAUUAGAUCAAGGUGUAGCUAAUAAACGAGUUAAAAUGGGUUACAGUAAAAUUAAUUUAUCACGGAAUACUUAUAAAAAUUUAUAGUAGUAAGGAGGAUUUAAUUGUAAUGUAAGUUUAACAAGCUUAGAAGAUAUAAGCCCUAAGUCAUGUACAUAUCGCCCGUCGCUA